rnacentral:lncRNA from 1 species
GUGGAAUAAUUCGGUUCUCAGUCAGGCAAGAGUGCUUCUGAAGGGUGGGGGCGGAGGAGGGCGGCUGCCGGGACUGCUCGGCAGCUCUGCCCCCGCUACCCCCACCAAGGGCGGCCUCGGCCCGCUCUCUGCCCCCCCACCCCGCCCCUUCCUCCUCUCCGCCGCCUCUGGCUGGCUGGGUUCGCUGUUGCUACCUCUCCUCGCAGAUGCAACGAGCAGGAACGUGUCGGUGUGGAAGGUCUGGUUGUAGACUCUCUGCCCGCUGUCCACUAUCACAGUUCCCCUCUUUGCACAUACAAGACACAGACACCUCUCGACCAGAGACCGUUUCUCUGUUCACGUAAACAUUUAAAGUAGAUCUCAGUCUGCAAGGUUUCGAGGAGAUAAAGUUUUGUGACUUCCACAAUGAAGCUGGGACUUGAUGGAGAUUAAAUCCCUCACGACUAAGACCUCAUGAGAAGGAAAUGCUUCAAAUGUUCAAACAGGGAGGAGGAUGCUAGUACCAUUUUUUUUUUUUUUUGUCAACUUCUUCGUCUAGAAUUUAAGCUCCAACUGACAGAGAUAAUUUUUUAAUUCAUCUGAUCCCAUGUGCCUAAGUCAGUGAUGGUAUGUAGUAAGUGUUCAAUGCAUAUUUGUUGAAUGGCUUGUGGCCACCAUCACCACAGUCAUCACUACUGUAAGUCACAGUCCUCUUUCAAUUGUGAAUCAUAAGAAUCCAGAGCAAUAUUUCAUCUUCGUCUUCACCAAUAUCCCCAGCCUCCUCCCUAUUCAAGCCUUUCACUGAGCCGCUGACAAGAGGUAAUUUGAAAUGGAUUUUAAUUUCCUCUCCUACUUCUGCUACUGACUCAUGUCACCCUACCCUAUUUUUCUCAAGGAGUUUCUAGUGAGCAGCAAAGUGUCCCUAAAUGUGAAGAGCAAGAAAAAGCAGGAAACUUAAAGUGUGCUAUAUAAAACCUCAGUAUUUGCAGCUGUAGAAUUUGGUCAUUGAAAACUUAGGAUUGCUUUUUUUUUUUUUUUUGCCUUUCCUUAUAAACUCUCCCCCUCCCACACACACACACCCCUCUAGGACCAUAGAGAAGUUAUGCCAGUGAUUCAUCCAAACAGCCGUGGUAAUGUCUUUAGAAAUAUUGGAGCCAUAGACAGAGUAGCAUGCAAAAUUUCUGCAGCAAAAUAUCAUUGGAAUGAAGUUCAGUCCAAUGAGUCAUAAGAAAACUACCCUUUUGCUGCCAUCUCUAUGAAUGAUUCAUUCCUAUAAGCUCUAAGGAGAAACGACCUACAUCUCAGUCUUGGUUAACCCAGCAUGGAUACUUGUCUGAAUCAUGCCCCAGGACCCACCAUGGAUGCUGAGACCCAGCCCAAGGUGGCCGGUUUAAAGAUGAUACUAAUAUUUUUAAUAACUACAAAAUAAUAUUUAUUAAUAUCAGCACAAAGACUGUGCAGAACCUCUUUAUUUUAAAAUUUUUAUUUGUUCUUCAAGAAAAUAUUUUGUGUUCCACAUCACUCUGUAUCUGUCUCUGGUAUUGCAGAAAUCAUAUUCUAUAUAAUAAUUAUCUCACCAUACAUUAAUCUCCCUUUAUAUGACUCAGAGCUACUUUAAGGCUGGGAUCAGUAUUUAUAUUUGUAUCACCAGCACAUAAUGCAGCACCCAAAGUUUAGUAGGUGUUCAAGAAAAUGGACUCUGAAUAAAUAAAUGGCUUUUUUAUUUCAGUGAAGCUACCAUAUUUCUCCCCUUCAGCCUAGACACAUACAUGUGAGUGCUCCCACAUAUGACUGAAUAUCUGCUUUACCCAAAAUUGACUUUUAGGGUUUUGUGCUCAUUAAAUUCUAGCUCCAAGUGUGUUGUGCAAGUAAAUUGGGGCAGGAGAUAGAAAUGCCAUAUGAGACCUAUAUCCAGAGUCAUAGAAAUGGAUGAUGUCCAGCCAGGUGCGGUGGCUCACACCUGUAAUCUCAGCACACUGGGAGGCCGAGGCGGGUGGAUUACCUGAGGUUGGGAGUUCAAGACCACCCUGACUAACAUGGAGAAACCCCGUCUCUACUAAAAAUACAAAAUUAGCUGGGUGUGGUGGCACAUGCCUGUAAUCCCAGCUACUUGGGAGGCUGAGGCCGGAGAAUCGCUUGAACCUGGGAGGCAGAGGUUGCGGUGAGCCAAGAUUGUGCCAUUGCACUCCAGCCUGGGCAACAAGAGCGAAACUCCAUCAAGA